AACGAACGCUGGCGGCAUGCCUAACACAUGCAAGUCGAACGAGAUCUUCGGGUCUAGUGGCGCACGGGUGCGUAACGCGUGGGAAUCUGCCCUUUGGUUCGGAAUAACAGUUGGAAACGACUGCUAAUACCGGAUGAUGACGAAAGUCCAAAGAUUUAUCGCCAGAGGAUGAGCCCGCGUAGGAUUAGCUAGUUGGUGUGGUAAAGGCGCGCCAAGGCGACGAUCCUUAGCUGUUCUGAGAGGAUGAUCAGCCACACUGGGACUGAGACACGUCCCAGCCUCCGACGGGGGUAAGCAGUGGGGAAUGUUGGACGAUGGGCGAAAGCCUGAUCCGGCAAGGCCGCGUGAGUGAUGAAGGCCUUAGGGUUGUAACGCUCUCUUGCCCGGGAUGAUAAAGACAGUACCGGGAGAGUAAGCGCCGGCUAACACCGUGCCAGAAGCCGCGUGAA
rnacentral:rRNA from 1 species